UAAAAGCACAUGCUCCUUCUCAACCUGUGCAAGCUCACGUGUUUGGGCAAAAGUCCAAAAGAAAAAGAAAGAAAAGCUUUGUGUUGGAAUAGUCAUACAAUCCUUUCUCAUCCCCUCUCUACUAUCAAUACCUGGGUAGGAUUUUUAAGAACCAAGGUCCCACAAUCAAACUGUGCUCUGAGCUUGGAAUAACAAUCCUUGGUCCUCUCCUUCUGGAUGAUCCCAGAAAAAUCCCAGAACUGAUAAUUCCUGAGCUUGAGGUCCAGACAUCAUGCCCCAAUGAAUGGAAUUUUUAUCUCCAGACAAACUUGCCUCCUUGUUGCACCUGUGCCUCAUUACUGUUGCUACACUACACUGUCUGAUUCUUUCUCUAGACAUAGAGAUAUAAGUCAAGGUUUAGCCCCAUUGCAUUGGGUCUCCUUCUAAAGGAAGCCCUGAUACAUGUCUCACAUUUUUCUCUCCCAAUGUAAUAAAGAAAGCCUUUUGCUUUUAAUCUGUGUGAACUCUUUGGUAUUUUUGGAAUUAAAAGGUGAUUGCAAAA